CCUACGGGUGGCUGCAGUGAGGAAUAUUGGUCAAUGGACGCAAGACUGAACCAGCCAUGCCGCGUGCAGGAAGACGGCUCUAUGAGUUGUAAACUGCUUUUGUACGAGGGUAAACGCAGAUACGCGUAUCUGUCUGAGAGUAUCGUACGAAUAAGGAUCGGCUAACUCCGUGCCAGCAGCCGCGGUAAUACGGAGGAUUCAAGCGUUAUCCGGAUUUAUUGGGUUUAAAGGGUGCGUAGGCGGUCGGUUAAGUUAGGGGUGAAAUCCCGAGGCUCAACUUCGGAAUUGCCUCUGAUACUGGUCGGCUAGAGAGUAGGAGCAGUAGGCGGAAUGUAUGGUGUAGCGGUGAAAUGCUUAGAGAUCAUACAGAACACCGAUUGCGAAGGCAGCUUACC
rnacentral:rRNA from 1 species